rnacentral:lncRNA from 1 species
UCACAAGGACUUUUGAUGGGCAGUAAGUGCCCUGGUGACAUAGGGUCACAUCCUGUUACUCGAGCAGGCAGGUCCUGGGUAGAUCCCAGGGAGGUGGGUUGGUAAAGGAUAAAGAGCUCCUGGGUGGUCAGCAGCUGGCUGCAGUUCCCCAGGAAACAGCUUCUGGCAGACACUCAAUCUCCAGUUGUAACAGGUGGUGUGGAGUCCGCUGGCCCAGAAAGUGGGCUGAAGGCCUAGUCCUGCCAAUGAACUUGCUGUAUAAACUUUUCUGUCUAUCAAAUGAGCUUCUCCAUUUCCACUUCUGCAAACUCUGGACUCUAAGGACCCAAGAUGGCUGGAAACAAGAUGGCGGAGAACCUAAUUUUGUUGGAAUGAAACGCAACAUGUCAGGAGCAGGAAAUUAAUUCUGAUUGAUCUGAGCCAGCCAUGGAAAUCCUGUGGACAGUCUUGGAGUAAGCAUUGGAAGCAGUCCUGACAGUUGAGGCUUUGGUGGAGGUCUGCUGAGGAUUUCUGGGAAGGAUGUUCCUUUCUGUUAAAAGAGAGAAACUUUCCCACCUCCCAACUUCUUUUCUCUCACACACAUAUUCUUCCAGCCUUUGGACAUUGCUGUGCUAGAAUGUGACAUUUGAAGUUGCAGCAGCCAUUUUUAGAUCAUGAGGAAUCCUUCAGAAGCUUAGAGGCAUUUGAACCAGAGCAACUCCAUCUUGAGUAGGGGCUACAUGAAAUAAGGCUGAGACCUACUGGGCUGUGUUCUUAUGCAAUUAGGCAUUCUAAGUCACAGGAUGAGACAAGAGGUCGGCACAAGAUACAGGUCAUAAAGACCUUUCUGAUAAAACAGGUUGCAGUAAAGAAGCCGGCUAAAACCCACCAAAACCAAGAUGGCGAUGAGAGUGACCUCUGAUCAUCCUCACUGCUACACACCCACCAGCGCCCUGACAGUUUACAAAUGCCAUGGCAACAUCAGGAAGGUACCCUAUAUGGUCUAAAAGGAGAGGCAUGAAUAAUCCACCCCUUGUUUAGCAUAUGAUCAAGAAAUAACCAUAAAAACGGGCAACCAGCCAUUCUCAGGACUGCUCUGUCCAUGGAGUAGCCUUUCUUUCUUCCCUCAUUUUCCUAAUAAAUUUGCUUUCACUUUACUAUGCGGACUCGCCCUGAAUUUGUUCUUGCACGAGAUCGAAGAACCCUCUCUUGGGGUCUGGACUGGGACCCCUGUCCAGUUACAAGCUAAUCCAAUACCCCAGAACUGAGAUGCUGAAACAGCCAACCCUGAAAC